GUGGGGAAUAUUGGACAAUGGGCGAAAGCCUGAUCCAGCCAUGCCGCGUGUGUGAAGAAGGUCUUCGGAUUGUAAAGCACUUUAAGUUGGGAGGAAGGGCAGUAAGUUAAUACCUUGCUGUUUUGACUUUACCGACAGAAUAAGCACCGGCUAACUUCGUGCCAGCAGCCGCGGUAAUACGAAGGGUGCAAGCGUUAAUCGGAAUUACUGGGCGUAAAGCGCGCGUAGGUGGUUUUGUAAGUUGGAGGUGAAAUCCCCGGGCUCAACCUGGGAACUGCCUCCAAAACUGCAUGACUAGAGUACGGUAGAGGGUAGUGGAAUUUCCUGUGUAGCGGUGAAAUGCGUAGAUAUAGGAAGGAACACCAGUGGCGAAGGCGACUACCUGGACUGAUACUGACACUGAGGUGCGAAAGCGUGGGGAGCAAACAGGAUUAGAAACCCGUGUAGUCC
rnacentral:rRNA from 1 species